rnacentral:lncRNA from 1 species
UUCCUUUCCUUCACUGAGCCGAGGGUCGAUUGGAAACAGCCUCUCUACCCUUUCGGGUAGGGGAUAAGGCCCGUCUACAUAUUACCCUCCCCAAACCCUAUUUUGUGGGACUAUACUAGGUAGUUGUUGUUGUUGUAGUAGUUCUGACAAAGAGCUUAACUUUUAAGUGAGCUUGGUAGAAGAACUAUAUAUAAGGCCUCUAUAGGCAUGCUAAAUAGCGAGUGUAACUCACUUAUUCAAGGGACAUUCUUAGCUAAAUACUGCCAAAGGAUAUCCGAAGCUAAUUAUUUCAUUAAAACUCAUGCUCAUGAUAUUGAGCAUUUAAAAACAAGAAGAAAGGCCUCAGCAUGGUGCUUAUCAUAAAUCAAUAUAUUUCCACUAACAAAGAGAGGCCAAAAAGAGCAUAAGUUAAGGUCUCAGGUUUAUGGGGAGACCAUCAAGUUUUCUGCUAUUGUAUUAAUCGAAAGAGUUUACAUAGAUUUAAAGCUAUUCAGUACUUAAGAAAUGUAACCAUCAACAAAACUGUAUAAGCAUGCUAUUUAUGAAUAAUGUAAAUCCACAAAUUACUCGCAACAUAUUCGAUUAACUUUUGCAAUAAUCUUAUAUUUGUCAUGAUUAUCUGGACAUGAAAGAACCUAAGCUCCUAUUGCUGGGAGGUAACAGGAUACACCAACACUCUUACAGAAUGCAUUCUCUUUUCUUUUUUUAACCUUUGACAGAUAAAUAGUAAUCUAUCCACAAAUAAUACACUGCAAAAUUCUUGAAAGAUUACUCAUUUUUACUCAUAAACGCUAUUGAAGUUCAUAAGAAAGAAGGAGCUUUUUCACAUAAUACGUUUAUCCUUAACAAGAAGUUAGAAAUGAAACAUCAACUGAGCAUGGCAUUUACAAAAGAACAACGUUGAUCAUGUACUAACAACAUAAAACAUACAAAAUAGUUGUGUAGCCAAUUUUUUAGAAUAAUAGUGUAAAUAUGAGUGAAUAACCCUAAUCCAAUAUGUAUUAGGAGGAGGAUAUGUUAUGUGUGUAUAUAUAGGUUCAUUGUUAGCAUUGUAAAUAAUAUAUCAAUAAUAUUUUUCUCUUGUGUAUUCUCACAUGGUAUCAAAGCAACCGUGAGAAAUUUAUCGUUGUGCGUCAUUCCAGCGAUAUCCGGGAAGAAAAAACUAAGUCACCGUGCAAUUUUCCGGUGACCUAAGUGACUAAUUGUGUCAAAGCCACUAAUUAUCAGUGUUGUGCAAAAUCCGACACUACCACAAGGCUCCCAAGAGAGAUCCGGCCAAACCCUAGAAAAAUCACCGAAAAAUAGUCAGCCAUGCGCCGUCAUGCGCCUGUUGGAGAUCUGCCGCCGGCGGCGCAUCUGUCCCAUGCGCCGGCACGUGAAAGCCCUUCCGGUCAGAAUUUGAAAAAGUUUCUUCAGUACAGUUUGGUCGCCUACCAAUUCUAAGCCUACCCAUCCUGUUUUCGUUUGAUUCGGGCCACUUUGAGUUUUUUCCAGCGACUACACUGAUUUUGCAGCUACUGUACUUUUCCGACAAAACACAGUGUUUCCUUUAUCCGUUUCAGUAAAUUGUGAGUUUAUUUUUUCUGUUAUCCGGUGAUAAUCCAACAAUGUCUUUGGGCGUCGAUGCUUUCGGGUCUAGAAACCCGGGUUCUGGCAGUUCUGGUGUUAUGAUUACCUCAAAAUCUUUAAUGGGAGGUUCAAACUACUUAGCUUGGGCUUCGUCUAUCGAGUUGACCAGUAAAGGUCAAGGAGUUCACGAUCAUUUAACAAAAAAG